rnacentral:rRNA from 1 species
CCUACGGGUGGCAACAGUGGGGAAUAUUGGGCAAUGGGCGCAAGCCUGACCCAGCAUCGCCGCGUGAAUGAAGAAGGCUUUCGGGUUGUAAACCUCUUUUCUCAGGGACGAAGCAAGUGACGGUACCUCAGGAAUAAGCCACGGCUAACUACGUGCCAGCAGCCGCGGUAAUACGGAGGUGGCAAGCGUUAUCCGGAUUUACUGGGUGUAAAGGGCGCGUAGGCGGGGACGCAAGUCAGUUGUGAAAACCACGGGCUCAACCUGUGGCCUGUAUGUGAAACUUUGUUUCUUGAGUACAGGAGAGGCAGACGGAAGUCCUGGGGUAGCGGUGAAAUGCGUAGAUAUUAGGAGGAACACCGGUGGCGAAGGCGGUCUGCUGGAGAGCAACUGACGCUGAGGCGCGAAAGCGUGGGGAGCAAACAGGAUUAGAUACCCUAGUAGUC